AGUUAAAUAAUUUAUUAAAAUAUUUACCUUGAAAGUAAAAUAUGGAAUCUCUCCUUUAACUU
rnacentral:tRNA from 1 species